ensembl:lncRNA
AUCUUUUUGUGUAGUUCUUCUUGUAUUCUUGUCUCCUCUUCUUAAUAUCUUCUGCUUCUGUUAUGUCUGUCCUUUAUUGUGCCCAUCUUUGCAUGAAAAGUUCCCUUGGUAUCUCUAAUUUUCUUGAAGAAAUCUCUACUCAUUCCCAUUCUAUUGUCUUUCUCUAUUUCUUUGCAUUGAUCGCUGAGGAAGGCUUUCUUAUCUCUCCUUGCUGUUCUUUGGAACUCUGCAUUCAAUUGGGUAUAUCUUUCCUUUUCUCCUUUGCCUUUCACUUCUUUUCUCAGCUAUUUGUAAGACCUCCUAAGAUGACCAUUUUGCCUUUUGGAUUUCUUUUUCUUGAGGAUGGUUUUCAUCACCACCUCCUGUACAAUGUCACAAACCUUUGUCCUUUGUUCUUCAGGCACUCUGUCUAUCAGAUCUAAUCCCUUGAAUCUAUUUGUCACUUCCACUGUAUAAUCAUAAGGGAUUUGAUUUAGGUCAUACCUGAAUGGUCUAGUGUUUUCCCCUACUUUCUUCGAUUUAAAUCUGAAUUUGGCAAGACGGAGUUCAUGAUCCGAGCCACAGUCAGCUCCCGGUCUUGUUUUUGCUGACUGUAUAGUGCUUCUCCAUCUUUGACUGCAAAGAAUAUAAUCGAUCUGAUAUAAGUGUUGACCACCUGGUGAUGUCCAUGUGUAGUCUUUCCUUGUGUGUUGGAAGAGGGUGUUUGUGAUGACAGGUGUGUUCUCUUGGCAAAACAGUUAGUCUUUGCUGUGCUUCAUUUUGUACUCCAAGGCCAAACUUGCCUGUUACUCCAGAUAUCUCUUGACUUCGUCCUUUUGCAUUUCAAUCAUCUUAGAUGGAAAUGACAUCUUUUUUGUUUUGGUGUUAGUUCUAGAAGGUCUUGUAGGUCAUCAUAGAACUGUUCAACCUCAGCUUCUUCAGCAUUAGUGGUUGGGGCAUAGACUUGGAUUACUGUGAUAUCAAAUGGAUUGCCAUGGAAAUGAACAGAGAUCAUUCUGUCAUUUCUGAGAUUGCACCCAUCUUAGGAAUGUCCCAUAUCUGCUCUGUGCCUGAACUUCUGACCUGUGAGAUCUUAGGCAAGUUGCCA